GACGAACGCUGGCGGCGUGCUUAACACAUGCAAGUCGAACGGAAAGGCCCUGCCUUGGGGGGGUGCGCGAGUGGCGAACGGGUGAGUAACACGUGAGUAACCUGCCCUGGACGUUGGGAUAACUUCAGGAAACUGGGGCUAAUACCGGAUAGGAGCUCCUGAUGCAGGGAGGGGGUAGGAAAGUUUCGGCGGGUGGGGAUGGACUCGCGGCUUAUCAGCUUGUUGGUGGGGUAGGGGCUUACCAAGGCUUCGACGGGUAGCCGGCCGGAGAGGGUGACCGGCCCCCUUGGGCCUGCGAUACGGCCCAGACUCCUACGGGGGGCAGCAGUGGCGAAUCUUGCACAAUGGGCGGACGCCUGAUGCAGCAGCGCCGCGUGCGGGAUGCCGGCCUUCGGGUUGUAAACCGCUUUCGCCUGUGACGAAGCGUGAGUGACGGUAAUGGGUAAAGAAGCACCGGCUAACUACGUG
rnacentral:rRNA from 1 species